AACGGACUCCCAAGACAAGAAUAUAGAUGUAUAUCAGAAGCUGAGCAUUGAAGUUGCUACUAGAGUCUCCCCGAGCCCUUAUUGGAUUCUCACUUCAGGAGCUGCUUUCAUUAUUUUGCCUCUCAGUUUCAAAAUAGACAAAGAACUCAACACUCAACAAUAAGAAAAUGAACAACUUGGUUGAAAAAUGGGCCAAAGACCUUAACAGACACCUCACCAAAGAUGAUAGACAGGUAGGAAAUAAACAUAUAAAAAGAUGCUGCACGUCAGAUGUCAUCAGAAAAGUGCAAUUAAAACAACAAUGAGACACCACUAUGCAUCUCCUAGAAUGACCAAAACCCAGAACACUGACACCAAAUACUCUUGAGGAUGUGGAGCAAUUCUCAUUGCUGAUGGGAAUGCAAAAUGGUACAGUCUUUUGGAAGACAGCUUGGAGGUUUCUUAUAAAGCUAAACUUGGAUUUACCAUACCAUCUACCAGCAGUGCUCCUUGGUAUUUACCCAGUGGAGCUGAAAAUGUAUGUCCCCACAGAAAAACAGGCACGUGGACGCUUACAGAAGUUUUACACAUAAUUUCCAAGACUUGGAAGCAACCAAGAUGUCCUUCAGUCGGUGAAUGGAAGAAUAAACUGUGGAACAAUCAGACCAUGGAAUAUUAUUCAGUGCUGAAUAGAAAUGAGCUAAGAAAGCCAUAAAAAAACAUGGAGGAAAAAAUGUUCAACACCAAGACUGAACCCUAAUGUAACCUGUGGACUUUGGAUGAUAAUGACGCAUCAAUGCAAGUCAUAAAUUUGGAAAAAUGUACCUCUCCUGGGAAGGAGUUGAUAAUGAGGUCAGGAGGGCAUCUUUCUCGGCUCUUCACUGUGAGAACCUUGUGGGAUUCCUGAAGAUGAAACCAUGAACGCGAGGGAGUCUUGCUAAAACUGCAGCAUUCGAGAGGUUUUCACUCAUGCUGGCUCACACUUGUCCUCUAGCAAUUCAUCAAAAUUACCACGUAAGUGUUUCAACAGUUUAUGGCUCAGGUGGCCUCAGCUGUGAUGCUCCAAAUUUGCCUGUUUCUCCAGAUGCAGGGUAGCAGUUUGCUGUUUCUCCUGAGUUCUUUGAUGGAUUCAAGAAAAGUCAUGAUUUUCAGUUUGUUCUGAUUUUUUCUUGUGAGGGCAAAGUAAUGACUAAGCUUUAAUGUGUUUCAGCUAAAACUACAUGUAUUUUAAUAGCAAAAUG
rnacentral:lncRNA from 10 species